rnacentral:rRNA from 1 species
UUUGUGUAUAGAAAAAAAAAGAACAAGGUUUCCGUAGGUGAACCUGCGGAAGGAUCAUUACCACACCCUAAAAAACUUUCCACGUGAACCGUUUCAACCCAAUAGUUGGGGGUCUUAUUUGGCGGCGGCUGCUGGCUUAAUUGUUGGCGGCUGCUGCUGAGUGAGCCCUAUCAAAAAAAAGGCGAACGUUUGGGCUUCGGCCUGAUUUAGUAGUCUUUUUUUCUUUUAAACCCAUUCCUUAAUACUGAAUAUACUGUGGGGACGAAAGUCUCUGCUUUUAACUAGAUAGCAACUUUCAGCAGUGGAUGUCUAGGCUCGCACAUCGAUGAAGAACGCUGCGAACUGCGAUACGUAAUGCGAAUUGCAGGAUUCAGUGAGUCAUCGAAAUUUUGAACGCAUAUUGCACUUCCGGGUUAGUCCUGGAAGUAUGCCUGUAUCAGUGUCCGUACAUUAAACUUGACUUUCUUCCUUCCGUGUAGUCGGUGGAGGAGAUGUCAGAUGUGAAGUGUCUUGCGAUUGGUCUUCGGACCGGCUGCGAGUCCUUUUAAAUGUACUAAACUGAACUUCUCUUUGCUCGAAAAGUGGUGGCGUUGCUGGUUGUGAAGGCUGCUAUUGUGGCAAAUUGGCGACUGGUUUGUCUGCUGCGGCAUUAAUGGAAGAGUGUUCGAUUCGUGGUAUGGUUGGCUUCGGCUGAACAAUGCACUUAUUGGACGUUUUUCCUGCUGUGGCGUGAUGGACUGGUGAACCAAUUGGACCUGAUAAUCAGGCAAGAUUACCCGCUGAACUUAACAUACCA